GAAGCUUAGGAUUACUUAAACCGAAG
rnacentral:tRNA from 1 species